rnacentral:rRNA from 1 species
UCCUUCCGUAGCCGAACCUGCGGAAGGAUCUUUACCGUACCGCGGGCCCUCUGGGUCCAGCCUCCCAUCCGUGUCUAGCUGUGCGCUGUUGCUUCGGCGUGGCCACGGCCCGCCGGAGACUAACAUUUGAACGCUGUCUGAAGUAUUGCAGUCUGAGUUUUUAGUUAAACAAUCAGUUAAAACUUUCAACAACGGAUCUCUUGGUUCCGGCAUCGAUGAAGAACGCAGCGAAAUGCGAUAAUUAAUGUGAAUUGCAGAAUUCAGUGAAUCAUCGAGUCUUUGAACGCACAUUGCGCCCCCUGGUAUUCCGGGGGGCAUGCCUGUCCGAGCGUCAUUGCUGCCCUCAAGCACGGCUUGUGUGUUGGGCUUCCGUCCCUGGCAACGGGGACGGGCCCAAAAGGCAGUGGCGGCACCAUGUCUGGUCCUCGAGCGUAUGGGGCUUUGUCACCCGCUCCCGUAGGUCCAGCUGGCAGCUAGCCUCGCAACCAAUCUUUUUAACCAGGUUGACCUCGGAUCAGGUAGGGAUACCCGCUGAACUUAAGCAUAUCAAUAAGCGGAGGAAAAGAAACCAACCGGGA